rnacentral:rRNA from 1 species
AGUGAACGCUGGCGGUAGGCCUAACACAUGCAAGUCGAACGGCAGCACAGUAAGAGCUUGCUCUUACGGGUGGCGAGUGGCGGACGGGUGAGGAAUACAUCGGAAUCUACUUUUUCGUGGGGGAUAACGUGGGAAACUUACGCUAAUACCGCAUACGACCUACGGGUGAAAGCAGGGGAUCUUCGGACCUUGCGCGAUUGAAUGAGUCGAUGUCGGAUUAGCUAGUUGGCGGGGUAAAGGCCCACCAAGGCGACGAUCCGUAGCUGGUCUGAGAGGAUGAUCAGCCACACUGGAACUGAGACACGGUCCAGACUCCUACGGGAGGCAGCAGUGGGGAAUAUUGGACAAUGGGCGCAAGCCUGAUCCAGCCAUACCGCGUGGGUGAAGAAGGCCUUCGGGUUGUAAAGCCCUUUUGUUGGGAAAGAAAAGCAGCAGGUUAAUACCCCGCUGUUCUGACGGUACCCAAAGAAUAAGCACCGGCUAACUUCGUG